AAGUCAUAACAAGGUUACUGUAGGUGAACCUGCAGUAGGAUCAUUAUUGAAAAAAUAGGGGCUUUCCCCAUUCUUUGGGGGCCCGAACCUUCACAUAAUUUCCACACACUUGUGAAUCGUUGGAGCGUUUUUUUGAAGAAGAGAUGCUCUGGCAACCUUUAAUUAUUACAAACACCGAGUUAAUGGAUGUAGUUGUAAAACUUGUUCUUUUUGACAGAAACAAAAAAUACAA
rnacentral:misc_RNA from 1 species